CCUCGGAUCAGGUAGGAUUACCCGCUGAACUUAAGCAUAUCAAUAAGCGGAGGAAAAGAAACCAACAGGGAUUGCCCCAGUAACGGCGAGUGAAGCGGCAACAGCUCAAAUUUGAAAUCUGGCCCUCGGGUCCGAGUUGUAAUUUGGAGAGGAUGCUUUUGGCGCGGCGCCGUCCGAGUUCCUUGGAACAGGACGCCAUAGAGGGUGAGAGCCCCGUACGGGCGGCCGCCUAGCCUUUGUAAAGCUCCUUCGACGAGUCGAGUAGUUUGGGAAUGCUGCUCAAAAUGGGAGGUAAAUUUCUUCUAAAGCUAAAUACCGGCCAGAGACCGAUAGCGCACAAGUAGAGUGAUCGAAAGAUGAAAAGCACUUUGAAAAGAGGGUUAAAAAGUACGUGAAAUUGUUGAAAGGGAAGCGCCUGUGACCAGACUUGCGGCCCGUGGAUCAUCCGGUGUUCUUCACCGGUGCACUCCGCGGGCUGCAGGCCAGCAUCGGUUUUCCUAGGGGGAUAAAGGUCGCGGGAACGUAGCUCCCUCGGGAGUGUUAUAGCCCGUGGCGUCAUGCCUCUGGGGGGACCGAGGAC
rnacentral:rRNA from 1 species